rnacentral:lncRNA from 1 species
GAAGCACUGUAUGGAGAGAAAACUGUGCGCCUGCCAACUGCCUGCCGAAGGACCUGGGCUUUAAUUUUCUUGCCAUUUCAAUCCCAAUCUUUCUUUAGGAGACUGAUGAUAAGGUUCGGAGUGGACUCUUUGUUUGAUGGCUUUCUAAUAUGGAGACAGUUCCAAGAGAGCCAGGAUUAAAUUGGCCAACUUCAUGCACAUGUGUGACCCAACCCAAAUUACAGUCCAGGUGGCUGGUGGUGAAAGCCAACUCAUUAACCUACAGUGACACCUGUUCAUCUGACACACCUUUCCUGAGCUCAAAAGGUCUAUUUCUUUUGAAAUAUUUAUGGCUCUGAAACUAAAGGUCAUUCCAUUCUUGUCUUUAACUUCACAUGAUGGUUAAAACAGACACUUAAAAUAAUAAAAUCACCUUUAAAGGCAGAGAAGAAACAUACAAAGAA